UAGUGCAUUUGAGCCAAUCAGUUGUGUUGUGACAAGGUAGGGGGGUAUACAGAAGAUAGCACUAUUUGGUUAAAAGACUAGACAGUACCCCCCGACGCGCAGCUCCAGCCGCAGGACGACGCCGGCAAGAGGGACGGCCCGAGGAUGAGGAGCAGCAAAGAUCGAAAUCACAGAUGAUGUUGGGAUCCAGAAUGUCCUCCACCGGUCCCAACACUGCUCUUCUGGGCCUUACCCCUCCUAGUCCACCAGGUACUGGAGGUUGAUCCCCACGACGUCGGGAGUCCAGUAGGAAUCUGACGGCAUAGGCAGGACCUCCCUCGAUGUCCAGGGGGGGCGGAGGGGUGUCGUGGGGGACAGCAUCAGCCAGGGGGAAAAAAACACUGGCCCGAGAAGGGAGACAUGAAAAGAAGGUGAGAUACGGUAGUCACUGGGAAGCUGUAACCUAUAUGUCACCUCGUUGAACCUCCGGAGAAACUUGAACGGCCCCACAAACCAGGGGCUCAGCUUCUUGCAGGGCAGGCAGAGUGGGAGGUUCCUGGUAGAGAGCCAGACACGAUCCCCAGGAUGGAACAUGAGUGUCUCACUGCAGUGGCAGUCUGCCUGCUCCUUCUGACGGUGGACGGCACGCUGGAGUCUCACUGUCCCUGCCGGUCCUGGCAGUGACUCCUAAGGUUCAUCCCCUGCUCUUGGUUCAGCCUCUCCACCUGCCUGUUAGACUGAGGCCUAUACCCGGAAGUGAGGCUGACCGUGACCACGAGUUUCUCUAUACCUGUGAUAUGAAUUGGGGGCCACGGUCAGAGACGAAGUCCUCUGGAAGGCCAUAAUGCCGGAAGACCUGCUGGAAUAGUGCCCCGGCAACCUGGAGAGCAGUAGGGAGACCAGAGAGACGGAUGAAACGACAGGAUUUGGAAAAUCUAUCCACAACCACCAAAUGGUGGUGAAACCGUCAGAGGAGGGGAGAUCAGUGACAAAGUCAAUGGAUAGAUGAGACCAGGGACGCUGAGGCAUGGGAAGGGGAAGGAGUUCCCAGCUGGACCGUGCCCGGGGGAUUUGGUUUGAGCAAAUACGGAACAGGAGUUGACACAGUGAAUAACGUCCUGCGCCAAGGUAGGCCACCAAUACUUCUCGGAGAUAGAUUGAGUAGUACGAGAAAUACUUGAAUGUCCAGCAGCAACAGCUGUGUGCGCCCAGGUCAGCAGCUGAUCCCUUAUCCCCGUGGGAAUGUAAAUACGCUCAGGAGGACAGGUAGUGGGUGCGGGCUCCCUCUCCAGAGCCUGGCAAAUGUCCACAUCUACGUCCCAGACCACAGGGGCUACGACUCGAGAGGAAGGGAUUAUGGGUGCAUUCUGGACAGGACCUUCUCCCGAAUCAUAGAGACGGGACAAGGCAUCGGCUUUGGUGUUCUUUGAACCUGGGCAAUAGGUCAGCGUGAAGUCAAAUCUCGUAAAGAAAAAGGCACACCUUACUUGGCGUGGAUUCAGGCUUGGUGCGGAUUCAGCCUCCUCGCUGUCCGUAUGUACUCCAGCUUCCAAUGGUCGGUGAGGAUGGCGAAUGGGUCCUUAGCGCCCUCCAGCCAGUGUUUCCACUCCUCUAAUGCCAACUUCACCGCCAGGAGGUCUCGAUCGCAAGGGAUAGUUUCUUAGAGUAAUGUGCACACGGAUACAAUUUUUGUGGAUUACCUUGUCGUUGAGACAGGACAGCCCCCACGCCCACUUCUGAAGCAUUCACCUCCACCACAGAGGGAAUCGUGGGAUCUGCGUGUUUGAGUAAUGGGGCGGAGGUGAAACAUCCCUUCAGUAGGUGGAAGGCCUCGUCAGCUGCUGGACUCCACACCAACCUACGGUGAACACCCUUGAGGAGAGAGGAGUGGCAAUGGAGCUAAAGUUCCUGAUGAAAUGGCAGUAGAAGUUGGCAAACGCCAAAAACCGUUGUAAACCCUUUAUGGUUGUUGGGACUGGCCAUGACCUGACCGCAUUUACCUUCUUGACGUCCAUCUUCACUCAUUGCGGGCUGAUUUGGUAGCCUAGGAAGGAGACAGCCACUUCUCAGCUUUGACAAACAGUUGGUUAGCCAGGAGGUGUUCCAGGACUACUCGGAUGUGAGCGAUGUGAUCCUCCAAGGUAGCCGAGUAGACCAGGAUGUCAUUGAUAUAUACGACCACCUGGCAUCCGAGCAGGUCCCCGAGCACCUCGUUGACGAAUGCCUUGAACACUGACGGAGCAUUGGCUAAGCCAAAUGAGAUUACCAAGUAUUUGUCGUGACCAGACAUCAUGCUAAAAGCUGUCUUCCAUUCAUCCUCCUCACGGAUGCGGAUGAGAUUGUAUGCACUCCGCAGGUCCAAUUUGGUAAAGAACCGGGCCCCUUCGGAGCUACUCGAUGGCUGCCAGCACCAAUGUGAGAGAGUAACGGUACUUGGUGGUGAUCUCAUUGAGUCCUCUGUAAUCAAUACACGGGCAUAACCCUCCAUCCUUCUUGGCCACAAAGAAGAAGCCUGCAGAUGCAGGAGAAGUGGAUGUGUGGAUGAAACCUUGUUGGAGCGCCUCAUGGAUGUACUCCUCCAUGGCCUUGGUUUCAGCCACCGACAGAGGGUAGAUGCGUCUGCACCAGGGUGCAGAGCUUACAAGCAGGUUGAUGGUACAGUCCCAGGGGCGAUGAGGUGGCGCGGUUUUUGGAAAAUACCUCCCGCAGGUCCUGGUAUACCUCCGGGAUGUUGGACUGAAGGGCAAGCAGGUCGAUGGUACAGUCCCAGGGGCAAUGAGGAGGGAGACAGGUGGUGCGGGUUUUGGAAAAUACCUCCCACCGGUCCUGGUAUACCCCUCGGACUCUCAACCAACGUGGAACCACAGGGGAUGGGAAAGCAGGUCCUCCGGCAUUCAGGUGCCCAGUACGUGAUUUGCAUCCUCGACCAUGAGAUGGUGGAGUUAUGGUGUUGAAGCUAAGGGAGGCCGAGGAUGAUCUUGUGAGCUGAUGCACUGGUGAUGAAGAAGGGAAUGUUCCCCUGAUGGAUGGACUCCACGGUGAGGGUGAGUGAUUUGAUGAUGUGUGUGAUGGUCCCGGAACCUAAUGGCCGAUUAUCGAGGGCUUGAACCGGGAGAGGAGAGCAGGUAUGAGGUUAUGUUAAGAGAGGGGGCAAGGGUGUGGUCAAUAAAGUUCCCCGUGGCACCAGAAUCCACUAACGCUGUAGAAACAGUACACGAGGGACUGUCAACUAGUGUAAUCGACACCAAAAAGGAUUUGGCAGAAAGUGAUGAAGAAGGGAUACUCACACCUGCCCCAGGAGGUGGAAGAUCACGUGACCGUCCCUCGGCUCUCGUGGAUCCCGAGUUGGGGCGUACCGGACAAUGCUGGAGCUUGUGCCCACCUUGACCACAAUAGAGACCCAGCUAACUCCGUCUGCGUCACUCCGCCGCGGGGAGACAUGUGACUCCUACCUCCAUGGGUUCAGGCUCUGAUCCAAAGUGUUCACUGAGGGAGGGAGAGAAGCGAUGAGAGUGCUGAAGCUCCGGAAGUAGGUUAUCCAGACGGAUGGCCAUCGCGAUGAGUGCGUCGAAGGAGAGUCUGGACCUCCUCGCGCAGUCCUCUUCUGAAUAGUGUACGAAGCGCCGGAUCAUUCCAUCCGCUGGAUGCUGCUACUUUCCGGAACGUGAGUGUCUGGUCCUCCUGUCUUAGUUGGAGUAGGUGCUCACUCCCCUCUCUGCCCUCCGGUGGAUGAUCGAAGACACCUCCGAACAGAGCCAUGAACCCCUCAUACAAAUCCAGCUCCUCCUCUCCUAUCUUCCAGACGGCCGUGGCCCAUUCCACGUCCGCCCAGUCAGCAGAGAAAUAACCGUGACAACCUUGUUGGUGGGGGCUCCCAUCUGAUGUGCAAAAUAGAGGGAGCACUGUAGUAGGAAGCCACGACAUUUAGAUGGGGUGCCAUCAUAUUUAUCUGGGAGGGACAAACGGGCAUUGCUGACCUGGGCGGGUUGCUGAAUGGGCUGGUGUGCUGGCUCGCUGGGUCGACUGGUGGUAGAGUAUCCUCUGCUAGUUGAAGGUAACACCUCUCGGGUAUGUUCGAGACAUUAAACACUGUGAAGAACCUCUUCCAUAGCCGUCCCCAGUUGUGCCAGCUGGUCGUGGUGUUGACGAAGUAGAUAUCCCUGCUCAUCGACCGUCUGGGAGAUGUUCUGAUUUCCUGCUGCUUCCAUUUUAUUAAGCAGUAUUCUGUAACAUAGAUGCUGGGAGUCGAGAAGCAGGUGGUAAGUUUAAUAUAACAAAGUACAUGGAACGAUACGCCAUAGGAGUAGCAUCUUGACAAGAAACACAGAAACAAUACUUCUUGGGGAAAUAACCUAAGGGAGUGCCAUAAAAAGGGGAGGUAAUGAGUGAGGUAAUGGAGUCCAGGAGUGCCUUAUGAUGAAGCGCAGAUGCACAAAAUGAUUGAUGCCAGGUGCCUGUAAUGAUAGUUGCCAGGACCGGAGGUUAGUAAACCCGCGAUGUCUAACGCUGGAGGGGAGGAGCAGGAGUAGACAUGAAAAAGGCCAGUGAAAAGCCUUCUUCGGUAGGUUUGUGUGGAUGCCAGCUGUAUGCAUUUUCAAGAGGCCUUUUUAUCCUGUGAUGUACACUGCCUGUUCUCCAUACAUGCCAUCUCUCUCUGGGAGAGAACUGCUAUCCCAGCAGAACACUUUCACCCAGAAUACAGAUGGAGAAUCUGUCCUUUUGCACUUCUGAAAUACACUCACAUGGAUAUCUCAUCCUGUAGUUGGGAAUGUAAAAAAAAAAUCUGAAUGUGAAUAGAUGACACAGUAUAUCAUGAGAAUAUACAGUAACAGUCAAAAGUUUGGACACACCUACUCAUUCAAGGGUUUUUCUUUAUUUUUACUAUUUUCUACAUUGUAGAAUAAUAGUGCAGACAUCAAAACUAUGAAAUAACACACAUGGAAUCAUGUAGUAAGCAAAAAAGAGCUAAACAAAUCAAAAUAUAUUUUAUAUUUGAGACUCUUCAAAGUAGCCACCCUUUGCCUUGAUGACAGCUUUGCACACUCUUGGCAUUCUCUCAACCAGCUUCAUGAGGAAUGCUUUUCCAACAAUCUUGAAAGAGUUCCCACAUAUGCUGAGCACUUGUUGGCUACUUUUACUUCACUCUGUGGUCCACCUCAUCCCAAACCAUCUCAAUUGGGAUGAGGUCGGGUGAUUGUGGAGGCCAGGUCAUCUUAUGCACUCCAUCACUCUCCUUCUUGGUCAAAUAGCCUUUACAUAGCCUCUCUGAGCAGCUGGAGGUGCCGCACUGGUCCCCCAUGGGAAUCAAACUCACAAUCCUGGGAUGGAAGGUACAGUUACAGGUACAAUUACACAUUCACCUCUUUAACACUGGAGGGCAGUAUAAGCAUGAUGAUAAAAUGCUGCUCAUUAUUGUGUUUCAGAACUUCACCCAUGCACUGUCCACAAGCUCAUGACAACAAGAUUAAUUUGAGCUCCUCAAGACUUAAAUACUUUCCUCCAGGUGUCUACUCUACUCAAAUGCACUAGCACUGACUAUAGCUUAUUUUAUCCAAAUGCCAAGAAACACGCACUGUAUCUUAACGGCUUCUAUUUGGCCUGAAUGGUGUGUGUGUGACGCAGUAUAACAAUUUGAAGGACUACAUGAGACACUACCGUCUGUACGGCUCUCUGCACAGCAGGAUCAUCGACCACCUGGACAGAUACCAGGGCAAGUGGUUUUAUGAGAACGCCAUCCUCUUGGAGCUCUCAGCACGACUCAGACGGGAGGUGAUCAGCUAGAACUGUACCAACCUCGUCUCCAACAUGGCCGGGUUUAAAGACGCAGACCCCUUCUUCCUCUCUGAGCAGCUGGAGGUGCUGCAGUUUGAGAUGUACCAAAUGGGGGACCUGAUCAUCCGCUGGGGGGCUCAUGGGAGACUGCAUGUACUUCAUCAACAGUUGAGCCGUGGAGGUAGAGACCUCCAAAUUCACAAAAAGAUUGUCUGAUUGAGCCUUCUUUGGAGGAUAUAACCACUGUUUCAACACAGCAUCACCGUACCACUAUCAAGGGUUAAUCAGUGUCGGGAUUUAGGUAGAGUCUUCAAAGAGUAUUCACAACCUGUGAAUGUCAAAGUGGAAUUAUGUUUUCGCAAUUUUUACAAAUUAAUUUAAAAUUAAAAGCUGAAAUGUCUUGAGUCAAUAAGUAUUCAACCCCUUUUUUACGGCAAGCCUAAAUAAGUUCAGGAGUAAACAUUUGCUUAUCAACUCACAUAAUAUGUUGUAUGGACUUACUCUCAGUGCAAUCAUAGUGUUUAACAUGAUUUUUGAAUGACUACCUCAUCUCUGCACCCCACACAUACAAUUUCAGUGUACAAUUUCAAACACAGAUUCAACCACAAAGAUCAGGGAGAUUUUCCAAUGCCUCGCAAAGAAGGACACCUAUUGGUAGAUGGGUCCUGCAUACAAAGUGUUAUGUUUGGGGAAAAUCCAAUACAACACAUCACUGAGUACCACUCUCCAUAUUUUCAAGCUUAGGGGUGGCUGCAUCAUGUUAUGGGUAUGCUUGUAAUCGUUAAGAUCUGGGGAGUUUUUUCAGGAUUAAAAAGAAACG